rnacentral:rRNA from 2 species
UGCAGUCGAGCGGACUUGACGGAAGCUUGCUUCCGUUCAAGUUAGCGGCGGACGGGUGAGUAACACGUGGGUAACCUGCCUGUAAGACUGGGAUAACUCCGGGAAACCGGGGCUAAUACCGGAUAUUCUUUUUCUUCGCAUGAAGAAGAAUGGAAAGGCGGCUUUUAGCUGUCGCUUACAGAUGGACCCGCGGCGCAUUAGCUAGUUGGUGAGGUAACGGCUCACCAAGGCAACGAUGCGUAGCCGACCUGAGAGGGUGAUCGGCCACACUGGGACUGAGACACGGCCCAGACUCCUACGGGAGGCAGCAGUAGGGAAUCUUCCGCAAUGGACGAAAGUCUGACGGAGCAACGCCGCGUGAGUGAAGAAGGUUUUCGGAUCGUAAAGCUCUGUUGUCAGGGAAGAACAAGUACGGAAGUAACUGUCCGUACCUUGACGGUACCUGACCAGAAAGCCACGGCUAACUACGUGCCAGCAGCCGCGGUAAUACGUAGGUGGCAAGCGUUGUCCGGAAUUAUUGGGCGUAAAGCGCGCGCAGGCGGCUUCUUAAGUCUGAUGUGAAAGCCCACGGCUCAACCGUGGAGGGUCAUUGGAAACUGGGAGGCUUGAGUGCAGAAGAGGAGAGCGGAAUUCCACGUGUAGCGGUGAAAUGCGUAGAGAUGUGGAGGAACACCAGUGGCGAAGGCGGCUCUCUGGUCUGUAACUGACGCUGAGGCGCGAAAGCGUGGGGAGCGAACAGGAUU